rnacentral:rRNA from 1 species
CCUACGGGGGGCAGCAGUCGAGAAUCAUUCACAAUGGGGGAAACCCUGAUGGUGCGACGCCGCGUGGGGGAAUGAAGGUCUUCGGAUUGUAAACCCCUGUCAUGUGGGAGCAAAUUAAAAAGAUAGUACCACAAGAGGAAGAGACGGCUAACUCUGUGCCAGCAGCCGCGGUAAUACAGAGGUCUCAAGCGUUGUUCGGAAUCACUGGGCGUAAAGCGUGCGUAGGCUGUUUCGUAAGUCGUGUGUGAAAGGUGCGGGCUCAACCCGCGGACGGCACAUGAUACUGCGAGACUAGAGUAAUGGAGGGGGAACCGGAAUUCUCGGUGUAGCAGUGAAAUGCGUAGAUAUCGAGAGGAACACUCGUGGCGAAGGCGGGUUCCUGGACAUUAACUGACGCUGAGGCACGAAGGCCAGGGGAGCGAAAGGGAUUAGAUACCCGUGUAGUC